rnacentral:rRNA from 1 species
GACGAACGCUGGCGGCGUGCUUAACACAUGCAAGUCGAACGGGCCUUGUCCCCUUUUUUUUUGGGGGUGGGGUUAGUGGCGAACGGGUGAGUAACACGUGAGUAACCUGCCCCUCACUUCUGGAUAACCGCUUGAAAGGGUGGCUAAUACGGGGUGUUCUGGCCUGCUCGCAUGGGUGGGUUUGGAAAGAUUCGACCGGUUUUGGUUGUUUUGGUGGGGGAUGGGCUCGCGGCCUAUCAGCUUGUUGGUGGGGUGAUGGCCUGCCAAGGCUUUGACGGGUAGCCGGCCUGAGAGGGUGGGCGGUCACACUGGGACUGAGACGCGGCCCAGACUCCUACGGGAGGCAGCAGUGGGGAAUAUUGCACAAUGGGCGCAAGCCUGAUGCAGCGACGCCGCGUGAGGGAUGGAGGCCUUCGGGUUGUGAACCUCUUUCGCCAGUGAAGAAGGUCCUGCUCUUUGUGGUGGGGUUGACGGUAGCUGGGUUAAUGAAGCGCCGGCUAACUACGUG